rnacentral:rRNA from 1 species
GACGAACGCUGGCGGCGUGCUUAACACAUGCAAGUCGAACGGAAAGGCCCUGCUUUUGUGGGGUGCUCGAGUGGCGAACGGGUGAGUAACACGUGAGUAACCUGCCCUUGACUUUGGGAUAACUUCAGGAAACUGGGGCUAAUACCGGAUAGGAGCUCCUGCUGCAUGGUGGGGGUUGGAAAGUUUCGGCGGUUGGGGAUGGACUCGCGGCUUAUCAGCUUGUUGGUGGGGUAGUGGCUUACCAAGGCUUUGACGGGUAGCCGGCCUGAGAGGGUGACCGGCCAAAUUGGGACUGAGAUACGGCCCAGACUCCUACGGGAGGCAGCAGUGGGGAAUAUUGCACAAUGGGCGGAAGCCUGAUGCAGCAACGCCGCGUGCGGGAUGACGGCCUUCGGGUUGUAAACCGCUUUCGCCUGUGACGAAGCGUGAGUGACGGUAAUGGGUAAAGAAGCACCGGCUAACUACGUA